rnacentral:tRNA from 1 species
GUGCCCGUAGCUCAGAGGCCAGAGCGCCGCCCUCAUAAGGCGGAGGUCACCGGUUCGAAUCCGGUCGGGCGUA